CAAAAUGAAACACCAUCCUAAAUCCUGUUCAGACGGAACGAGUUUGUCAAAUAAGGACUAAAGGACUAAACGUGACUUUUUGCUUUGGAAAGAUUGAAAGUUAACCUACAACCAAAACAAGUGUGUUUCUGCAUUUGUUAACAACACGGAUGUUAAUCAAAGUUAACUCAAAGUUAUAGCAAAAAUUAAAAUUGUGAGGGGCUUUAUUUGCUUAAAGUAAGUCAGAAACACUGCUCCAGUGUCAUGAUUUUAAAAAAAGUGUCACAAAUUUCUGAAAAAAAUUAAAAACAGGAAAAUGUAGAGAGCAUCUACAAACUCCAAAUGGCCUUUAAAUGUCUAUUUGAAGGAGACGUUGGCCGUUUUCUCUUGGAUGCAAGCCUCCCUCUUAAAAAUGUUAGUAGUCAAAUGCAUUUUAAUCAAACACAUAACCAAACUUAACGAAAUGCAAACUAACUUGGUAUCUGUCAAUCAUUAAGCAAGAAAACACCUGGGUGUUUGUUGCAGGGCUGAAACAGACUAUAACACAAUUACUAAGGCACUUCUCAUUGGGUAAGAGUGAAUUUCUAUUGCACAAUUGUUGCACAGAGUCCCUCAAAAACAAUGGUAAAUACUCACACUGGGUUCACAGACUUGUGUUGCCAUUUAUGCGAAUGCAAGACUUUUCACUUCUGCAGGGGGUUGAAAACUUCUGCAAACAUUUUUUUAAAUUUACCUGGUAAAUCCAUGCGGUAAAACAACGUCAGAAUAGGAAGAACUUAUUCAUAUAAUUUUUAACAGAUGAAGUCACAUUUUUUUUUUUUUUAUUACAAAAUUCUUUAUAAUUUACCUGUGAAAAUGUAAUGAAAAUAAAAAUAAGUAUGAUGCAAAAAGACAAAACAAAUACAAGGCAAAUAGACUAAGCUUGUUUUUUUCAAAGAAUAGGCAGAAUUAUGUGAAUAUGUGGUGAAAUAAGACACUAAUUUGUAUUAUACAGUUACAAUUAGGGUAAAUAUAAAUGAACUGACGUUUUUGUGGGGCUUAUAUAUAUAUAAAAAAAAAAAACAGAUUUUUUUUCUCUAAAGAUAGAAAAGUUGGCUCACAUAACUUCCUUUCAAAAUAAAAGACACCUUGUUCAGCCUCUAGUUUAUUUGCUUGGGUUAAUAUAGUUUCUUCUUUUAGUUACAAGUUAUGUUUAGUUUGAGCUUUUAUUUUGAAGGCCUUUUUUGCAGGAAGUCCUAGUCGGCCAUAUUAGUUAAUCAUUCUACCAUGUGGUCUCAUCACCUGCUUUCAUUCUCCUCUCGUUUGCAUCUCCAACCCCAUCGUCUAACUCUGGUGUGACUUUUUCACUCGUACUUGUCCGCUGUCCCUUUCAGCACCAGACAGGUAAUUGUGAUGCUCCCUGUGUAUCAUUAUCCCAAAAUUGGAAUUGUGAUCACACUCCCCUGUGAUCACAGACAUUUUACAUAUUUUCUCAUCAUCCAUAAUCACAGUUUAUGCAUUAACAGCCUCCUGCGAGUCAGAGGGUUGAAGCCUUUCACUCUUUGAACGCAAUGGCCCUAUUUCCACUAGUUUAGAGGAGACAUUUAGGGAAAAGCUUUCUGAAAUCACCCACAUUUGUUUAUGCUUUGGAAAAUAAAAAAAAAAAAAAAAA